rnacentral:rRNA from 1 species
CCCUUAGACGUUCUGGGCCGCACGCGCGCUACACUGACCGGUGCAACAAGCAUCCGUCCUUGGCCGACAGGCCCGGGCAAUCUUUGAACGCCGGUCGUGGUGGGGAUAGACUUUUGCAAUUUUUGGUCUUCAACGAGGAAUUCCUAGUAAACGCAAGUCAUCAACUUGCAUUGAUUACGUCCCUGCCCUUUGUACACACCGCCCGUCGCACCUACCGAUUGAAUGGUCCGGUGAAGCCUCCGGAUUGGCGCGCACCUCGGUGCCGCCGAGAAGUUGGCUAAACCUUACCAUUUAGAGGAAGGUGAAGUCGUAACA